GAAAAGUGACAAUUAUCUUGGGAAUUGUGUUUCCCGGCUGUCCUUUCAAAUAAGCCAACUAUAAUUAAUCCUCACUCCAGUUGUUGAGUUUCAUACUUGUUUCUCUUCCACAGGAGCAGACGUUUCUAACUAAAGGUGAUAGAGCGUCAAAGAUUUGGCGUCCUGGUGUCAUGGAUGUUGCUGGUUCUACAACUCUGAACUGGCCAGAUGAGAGUCAAAACCCCAGAUGGAGUCAGCGGUGGUUUCAACCUACAUGUACAUGUAGACAUCCUGAGUGUCAGAUUCUAUUGGGUGCUGGCGAGGCAGCAAAUUUCUAACAGAGGGUGACGGAGCAUUAAAUCUUUGGUGCCACGGCUUUGUGAGCAGACCAAACAGGGAAUUCACCAUCCAAUUUGAGACUUAAAUGAUAUUUUUUUCAAUAUUUUGUAUUAAAAAACAGGUAAAUUUAGCCCCAAUUUUUUGUUGUUGAUUUAUCUAUGUUUGUAUUGAAGAAUUCAAUAAAAGUGCACUGGGUUUUCCAAUCGCGUCCUGUAAUUUACGGUAUCAGGCAAUUUGACAAUUGAAAUAUGAACCAAGAACAUGUAAAACACACAUUCACACGGUUAAGUACGCCAUACUUUUAUGGUGCAAAAUCAUGUCUUUGGCAAAAACCUAAUCAUUUCUUUCUCCUUUGGAACUUUGGUUUUCAAACACAAACCUUGAUCACUUUAAUCGUUUGAAUUCCAAGUUAAACAUACAUGUAUGCACAUACCGGUACUCUUCUUGAGUUUUUCGUUAAAGUGUGGCACAGACGAAAUAAAACUGACGAGAAAGCUUG